rnacentral:lncRNA from 1 species
AGAGAAGAGAGGAAGAGGACCCCAGGACGCAGACCUGGAGCGUGAGCUUCGGAACUGGCCCAAGGGUCUAAAUCAAAGAAGGUCCAAUAUUAAGAUGUCAGGAAACCUGGGAUGUGAUGCCCUUCUGGCUCCUAACUGUUCACUCGGAUUGUGCUGCACCAGCCUUGAGGCUAUGGCGGCUCAACUCUCGCUGGAGAAAAGGGAAGACAGGACGAUAAUUCUGAGAGGAUCGAAAGCGACUGAAGAUCUAUGUAACUCCCCUGGUCUCUCCAUCCUCUGGGGCCUGGCAAAACGGCCAACCCAGAACACACUGGCAGGAGCCAGCGCCCAAGUGAGGCCCCAGAGAAGGCAGACAAGGUUCCCCGACCCCUGCUCAGCCAGAGGCACUGAGGCAGCCCCUCUGCAGCCCACCUCGCCCCUAAGGUCCUGUGCCUGCUGCUUCCACAGACCUCCAAGGUUCUCUCAUGUGACACGGAGGCUGCAGGGCUGGGCUAGACGCAGGAGGGGUGGGGUCCCCAAGCUCCUCAAGGUCAAGGAGUCUACCUUUCGGUGUUUCUAUUCCAGGACCUCAGACAGGGCCUGGCACCAAGAAGGGAAAUAUUCACUAUAUUUUUCUUAAAAGGGUCUUAGAGGGUUUUUAGAGAAGGAAAAGAUCCUAUUGUGGUCUUCUUCUCUGUCUUUUUAAAGUGAGAAACUCCAAUUUUGUACUGUGAAAAGUCUGAGGUCAGAAACCCAUUUUUCCCUUUUUUCCUUGCACACUCAGGGAGCAUAACGAACUGCGGGGUCGCCUCACUGCUGUCCCCUCUGCCCUCCUCCUAGAUUCAACAGUUUGCAUGGUAGUGACUUUUCCACUGGUUCCAGGAUACUAAGUCCACCUGGUCCAGUGGGUAGAUCACGUAAACCAGGCCCAUCAGAGCAUGCCAUUCUCCUGAUCACCGGGGUUGGUUCAGGAAUGUUCCGUCAGCCCAAAGCUCAGGCCACGGUCAGAUGCUGUGGACGUGAAUGAGGAAAGAUGUGGAUUUGGGGCUGCUGCCAUCUUGCAAGGAUGAGGGAAGAGGGUGGUAAACACAGACGGACAGGCAGGGCUGAGAAAAUGACAGAGAAAUAGAGUCAUUGUCCAGAUCAAAGCAUGCCUGAAUAUCAGACCCACCUCUCUAUCUUUCUGUUAGGUGCCAUGAUCAAUUGCCUUUGUGGUUUAAGCCAGUUUGAGUCAAGUGGUCUGAUACUUGAGACCAAACGGAUGUUGCUACCAGGGUGUAUUAUGUAAGAUGUGCUGUUGACUGGAGCAUAAGUAAGAUGCAGAACUUCAACACAUAUGUCAGCAUCAGCAUCUCCUGAUGUUGGUUCUUUCUUUUUGAGAUAAGCCGUAUUUGGAACGGACUUACAACCUUUCUCUUCCCAGUUCUCCGCGACACUUUCUGGUCCAUAAAGGAUCCACCCUUAAGAGCAGAAGUGAACAAAGAAGAUGCCAACCUGGUCUUUGUGGACAGACUGUGCCUUUGGAUGCUUCCCACGUGGUCAGAGCCUGGACUGAAGAGAUGGCAACUGGGAGAACACAGCUGGCUACUUCCCCUGGAAGGAAGUGGCUCCUGUUGGAGGACAGGGUCAGCCGUGUGUCAGGUUCUGGGUUUAGCAUUAUGAGAAGCUGUGUUACCAGGAAGGUCUUCUCUGAGGACAGGACCCUCUUCCCGUGCACUCCACCCCACGAGGCCACACUCUCCUAGCAUGUGUGACACAUCGCAGGGCUUGUUCUGAUGAAGGCAGGCAGGCUGACCACAAAGCAAGCAAAACCAAAAACAAAAAUAUUGUUUUGCAAUAGAAGUAACUUAUGCUCAUUUUGGAAAACAUAGACAUAAAGAAGAAAGCAAGCAGCACCCAUAACCCAGUGAUUAUAACCAUGGACAUACCUUCCAGGGCUUAUUUCUCAUUUUCUAAAACAAACAUUUAAGCAUAAUAUACACAGAAAAAGUAAACAAGUCCUAAGAGUGUUGAUGGAUAAAUUUUCACAAAUUGAACACACUCAUGCCACCACCGCCAAAAUAAAGAAACAACUUCAGCAGCA